rnacentral:lncRNA from 1 species
AAUUAAAAUGCAUAUACUUGCAAUAAAUUUCAAAAAAUGAAAAAAUCUCGUGUGUGUACAUCAACAAAUAAAGAAAAUUGCUUCAAGGUGCAUGCUAACAAUUAACUUUACAAAAUCAAACAUAAUUAUUAUUGUAUCAGAAAUAACUAAAAUAGUAAGUAUCCAAGGUCUUCACCAUUAAACUCCAACAGAUCAAAUUAUCUUUUGGCUAUCAUGUCCAAUUUGCUCACAAGAACUUUCCUACACAUUCAAAAUAAAAUUAGUAUUUAGAUAGUAACUAAUAACAUGCAAGUGCAGAUUUAUAGCAAUGUUGCAAAAAUAAUUCCCUUGAAAAUUUAAAUAUCAAGCACUAUUCUAAGAACAAAUAUCUAUUAUAGAUAAAAGGAUUAAGUUGUCCAAGCUAGUUAGGGUAGGUUGUACUACUACUUAAAUAUUUAUCAGCAUUUCAAUUAGUUGUAUUUUUGCAUUGUCAUUAGCACUUUCUUUGUACUUCUUUGUAUUUUGGCAUUGUCAUUAGCACUUUCAACUUACUUUUUAUUUCUCCCAACCUAACUUGACUAGAUUCCUUUAUUUCAGUAAGUACUUGAAUCUCUUUUCUUAAAAGGAAAAGGGUCAAAACUGCCCCUAACGUAUUGCUCCAUGUUAAAAAUGUCUUCCGUUAACCUAUUUUGAAGAAAAUGCCCCUACCGUUAAAAAUGUGGCAUAUUUGUGCCCCUAAGUCUAACAACUGACUAUACUUAUAUUUNNNNNNNNNNNNNNNNNNNNNNNNNNNNNNCGUUAACCUAUUUUGAAGAAAAUGCCCCUACCGUUAAAAAUGUGGCAUAUUUGUGCCCCUAAGUCUAACAACUGGCUGUACUUAUAUUUAAAACGGUAGGGGCAUUUUUUUCAAAAUAGGUUAACGGUAGGAAUAUUUUUAAACUGGAGGCAAUACGUUAGGGGCACAAAUAUGACGCAUUUUUAACGGUAGGGGCAUUUUCUUCAAAAUAGGUUAACAGAUGACAUUUUUAAACUGGCGUCAAUACGUUAGGGGCAGUUCUGACCCUUUUCCGUUUCUUAAAUGGUAAUAUUACUCUUUCUCACAUUAAUAGAUGAGUUGCUUCUUUAUUUCUCCCAAUUCAACUUGAUCAUUUUCACUCAACAUUAGCUUAUCACAACACAACGAUAUGGUAUCUUAACAUGUUUUCCCAUAGCUAUUAAGUUUCAAUGAAUAACAAACUAUAUCUCUAAGUACUUCUCUAUAUAAUUCAAAAUAAAUGCCGUCUAACCCUUCAUUCAAACAAGGAAAACAUGCAUAGUGUACCAUGAUUACAUAAAACAAUCAAAAGAUACCUUUGUAAAAACCGGAAUUCACUACUUCCAAAUAAAAAUAGCAGCAUUAAAAGAUGCCAAAACUGUUCAUAUGUACCAGCACCGAGCAUGAUAUGCAUAAAAAGAUGAAAAUUGAAGAUAAUACAGUACAUAAUACAAAUUAUAAAACUGAUAUACCCACAUACUAUAUGCAUUUUCAAGGGUUAGAUGCCACAAAUGACUAGAACACAUUAUUUUCCAUGUACAAAAGCAUACACUACUUUAAAAUGCCAACAACUACAAUAUUAUCAUAUAUAAAUAUGCGAUAGACAUAUAAAGUAGGAAAAUAUUUAAUAGAAAGAAAUCUAUAUAUGAUACAGCAUUGAGAUAAAAUGUAAUCUUUAUAUUGUAAUGAUUCAAGUAACAAAAUCUAUGGACUAUAAUCAUGCUGUAUUGGCCUUUCUAUUUUCUUGUCAUCUAGACAUCUAGUACCUUCUCUCUAGAAUUGAAUAUGCUACUUGGUCCUAAAACAAACAUAUUAGAAUUUCUUUCUGUUACCAGAAUAUUUAUAUAUUCUUUUUAUUGCCAGAAUAUUUUGAAAUUCUUCAAUUACUUGUCUAAUAUGUCUCUAUUACUUCCUUUUGUUUAACUAUUGUAUAUUGAUAGGCAAAUUCUGUAAGUGAACUUCUUUUUUGACAGGAAAGUUCAUUUCAGUCAACCAUAUUGUUUUCUCAAUUUUCCUUAAGUAAGAAGUCAACAGAACAAAUGUUUUAAAUGCAUAUAAUUAUAUUUCACAAGAUAUAAUUCUUCCAAUAUAAUUUCCUAAUAUUCUAACAAUAAAAUAUGUAUCUCGAAGCAAACUCAAACAUAAGAAGUUAAAAAUUCAAUGACCAAUUUAUCACCAAUACAGAUUUUUUACAUGUAAUAGUACCAUUAGAGGAUGUUAGUAACCUAAAAGGAAUUUACAAUACUCAACUAUAAAGUGGUCCAACUUGCACAUAACAGAUUCAAGAAAAUAUUUGAUUAUAAAUUACUCAUAUCAGUAAAAGCUCGAAAAUCUUAAAUACAUUUAACAUAGCAGUCUCACAUCUUUGAAAUCUUUCGCUCACUCUACCCAGAUUACAAUCAAUUAGUCAAGUCUGAAAUAAAGAUCAAUAUGGUUUAAGGAAUAAUGCCUUUCUAUUCCUUAAACAACCAAAAUAAGAGCAAACAAACAAGUCCCAAAAAACUUUGUGAUGAUUCAAAAAACAGAAAGGUUGAGUUCCAACAAGAAAAAGGGAAAGCUUAUAGGGUUUAACAGUAUUGAUUAAGAUGAUUCAGAAAACAGAAAGGUUGAGUUCCAAAAAGAAAAAAGGAAAGCUUAUAGGGUUUAACAGUAUUGAUUACCUUUGCGGAAUCGAAGCCUUGAACUUGCGGGGCCCUGCAUCCUUGUGGAGAUAAAACUGCUACAAGGCUGAAGAAACUUACAGAGGUGGUGUCGAUGGGGAUUUCAGAAUUUGGUGGAGGUGUCGGAGACUCGAAGCGACAGACCUAAGGAAUGAUUUCAAAAGGAUGGCCCUAAUACUUUAUUUGUUCAUUCAAAAUGGAAAAAAUAUUUGAAUAUUUCACUAAAAGAAAUAAGGGGGAAAUUU